GUUAAGCGACUAAGCGUACACGGUGGAUGCCCUGGCAGUCAGAGGCGAUGAAGGACGUGCUAAUCUGCGAUAAGCGUCGGUAAGGUGAUAUGAACCGUUAUAACCGGCGAUUUCCGAAUGGGGAAACCCAGUGUGUUUCGACACACUAUCAUUAACUGAAUCCAUAGGUUAAUGAGGCGAACCGGGGGAACUGAAACAUCUAAGUACCCCGAGGAAAAGAAAUCAACCGAGAUUCCCCCAGUAGCGGCGAGCGAACGGGGAGGAGCCCAGAGCCUGAAUCAGUGUGUGUGUUAGUGGAAGCGUCUGGAAAGGCGCGCGAUACAGGGUGACAGCCCCGUACACAAAAAUGCACAUGCUGUGAGCUCGAUGAGUAGGGCGGGACACGUGGUAUCCUGUCUGAAUAUGGGGGGACCAUCCUCCAAGGCUAAAUACUCCUGACUGACCGAUAGUGAACCAGUACCGUGAGGGAAAGGCGAAAAGAACCCCGGCGAGGGGAGUGAAAAAGAACCUGAAACCGUGUACGUACAAGCAGUGGGAGCCUCUUUUAUGGGGUGACUGCGUACCUUUUGUAUAAUGGGUCAGCGACUUAUAUUCUGUAGCAAGGUUAACCGAAUAGGGGAGCCGAAGGGAAACCGAGUCUUAACUGGGCGUUAAGUUGCAGGGUAUAGACCCGAAACCCGGUGAUCUAGCCAUGGGCAGGUUGAAGGUUGGGUAACACUAACUGGAGGACCGAACCGACUAAUGUUGAAAAAUUAGCGGAUGACUUGUGGCUGGGGGUGAAAGGCCAAUCAAACCGGGAGAUAGCUGGUUCUCCCCGAAAGCUAUUUAGGUAGCGCCUCGUGAAUUCAUCUCCGGGGGUAGAGCACUGUUUCGGCAAGGGGGUCAUCCCGACUUACCAACCCGAUGCAAACUGCGAAUACCGGAGAAUGUUAUCACGGGAGACACACGGCGGGUGCUAACGUCCGUCGUGAAGAGGGAAACAACCCAGACCGCCAGCUAAGGUCCCAAAGUCAUGGUUAAGUGGGAAACGAUGUGGGAAGGCCCAGACAGCCAGGAUGUUGGCUUAGAAGCAGCCAUCAUUUAAAGAAAGCGUAAUAGCUCACUGGUCGAGUCGGCCUGCGCGGAAGAUGUAACGGGGCUAAACCAUGCACCGAAGCUGCGGCAGCGACGCUUAUGCGUUGUUGGGUAGGGGAGCGUUCUGUAAGCCUGUGAAGGUGUGCUGUGAGGCAUGCUGGAGGUAUCAGAAGUGCGAAUGCUGACAUAAGUAACGAUAAAGCGGGUGAAAAGCCCGCUCGCCGGAAGACCAAGGGUUCCUGUCCAACGUUAAUCGGGGCAGGGUGAGUCGACCCCUAAGGCGAGGCCGAAAGGCGUAGUCGAUGGGAAACAGGUUAAUAUUCCUGUACUUGGUGUUACUGCGAAGGGGGGACGGAGAAGGCUAUGUUGGCCGGGCGACGGUUGUCCCGGUUUAAGCGUGUAGGCUGGUUUUCCAGGCAAAUCCGGAAAAUCAAGGCUGAGGCGUGAUGACGAGGCACUACGGUGCUGAAGCAACAAAUGCCCUGCUUCCAGGAAAAGCCUCUAAGCAUCAGGUAACAUCAAAUCGUACCCCAAACCGACACAGGUGGUCAGGUAGAGAAUACCAAGGCGCUUGAGAGAACUCGGGUGAAGGAACUAGGCAAAAUGGUGCCGUAACUUCGGGAGAAGGCACGCUGAUAUGUAGGUGAAGCGACUUGCUCGUGGAGCUGAAAUCAGUCGAAGAUACCAGCUGGCUGCAACUGUUUAUUAAAAACACAGCACUGUGCAAACACGAAAGUGGACGUAUACGGUGUGACGCCUGCCCGGUGCCGGAAGGUUAAUUGAUGGGGUCAGCGCAAGCGAAGCUCUUGAUCGAAGCCCCGGUAAACGGCGGCCGUAACUAUAACGGUCCUAAGGUAGCGAAAUUCCUUGUCGGGUAAGUUCCGACCUGCACGAAUGGCGUAAUGAUGGCCAGGCUGUCUCCACCCGAGACUCAGUGAAAUUGAACUCGCUGUGAAGAUGCAGUGUACCCGCGGCAAGACGGAAAGACCCCGUGAACCUUUACUAUAGCUUGACACUGAACAUUGAGCCUUGAUG
rnacentral:rRNA from 1 species